CUACGGGGUGCUCCAGUGGGGAAUAUUGCACAAUGGGCGCAAGCCUGAUGCAGCCAUGCCGCGUGUAUGAAGAAGGCCUUCGGGUUGUAAAGUACUUUCAGCGGGGAGGAAGGGAGUAAAGUUAACACCUUUGCCCAUUGACGUUACCCGCAGAAGAAGCACCGGCUAACUCCGUGCCAGCAGCCGCGGUAAUACGGAGGGUGCAAGCGUUAAUCGGAAUUACUGGGCGUAAAGCGCACGCAGGCGGUUUGUUAAGUCAGAUGUGAAAUCCCCGGGCUCAACCUGGGAACUGCAUCUGAUACUGGCAAGCUAGAGUCUCGUAGAGGGGGGUAGAAUUCCAGGUGUAGCGGUGAAAUGCGUAGAGAUCUGGAGGAAUACCGGUGGCGAAGGCGGCCCCCUGGACGAAGACUGACGCUCAGGUGCGAAAGCGUGGGGAGCAAACAGGAUUAGAUACCCCAGUAGUC
rnacentral:rRNA from 1 species